GAAAAAGGGAAAGGAUUAGAGAGAAAAGAAGAAGAAGGAAAAGAAAUAGAGGAGAGAAGGAAAAGAAAAGAAGAAGGGAAAAGAAAGAGAGAUAGAUUCGCUCUUAGUCUGCCUUUUAGGGUUUCUCUACAAGUCUGGGAUACAUUAAAGGGAAGGUGGGAAAGAAUGAGAGGAGCGAGGAAAAUAGAAGAAGGAUAAAAAGAGAGGAGAGGAGAAAAAGAAAGAGAUAGGCUCGUUCUCAGUUUCCCUUUUGAGGCGCUUGUUGGGGUCUCUCUGAAAGUCUUGAAGGAAAAGAGGGAAAGAAAGAGAAAAGCGAGGAAAACAGGAAAGAAGAAGGAAAAAGAAAGAGUGGAUAGAAAGAAAAAGAACAGAAGGAGAAAAAUAAGAGCUAGAUUCGCUCUUUAGUCUCCCUUUUGAGGCGCUUUUUAAGGCUUUCUCUAAAAGUUGGAAGGAAGGAAGGAAAGAAAGGAGAGAGAGAGAAAAGAACAGAAAAAGGAGAAAAAAGAAAGGGAGGAGAGAAGAAAAAAGAACAGAAGAAGAAAAAGAAAGACACUCUUAAACCCCCCCUUUGAGGGCUCUUUUUAGGGUCUCUUUAAAAGUCUAGGAGACAUAAAAGGGAAGGAGGGAAAGAAUGAGAAGAGCGAGCAAAACAGGACAGAAAAAAGGGGAAAAGAAAGAGGGAAAGAAAGAAAGAAAGAGAGGAGAGAAGAAAAAAAGAAGCGCUUGCAGAUAUUGAAGGGAAGGAGGGAAAGAAAGCGAGGAGCGAGGAAGACAGGACAGAAGGAGAAAAGAAAGAGAAGUAAAAAAGGAACAGAAGAAGGAGAAAAAGAAAGAAAGAGAGAUAGACUCACUCUUUAGCCUCCCUUUUGAGGCGCUUUUUAAGCUUUGUUUACAAGUCUGGGAUACAUUGAAAAGAAGAAAGAAAGGAGAGAGAAAACCGAGGAAGGAGAAAAAGAAAGAGAAGUUUAAAGAAGGAGAAAAAGAGAGAGAGACUCACUCCCUUUCUGAGGCGCUUUUUUAGGCUUUCUCUACAAGUCUUGCAGACAUUGAAGGGAAAGAGAGAGAGAGAGGAUCAGAAGAAGGAGGAAAAGAAAGAGAGAGAAAGGCUCUCUCUUGGCGCUUUUUAGUCUUUCCCAAAAAGUCUUCGCCCUCCCGCCUUUGGGGCGCUUUUUAGGGUUUCUCCAAAGAUCUAGAAGACGUGGAGGAAGGAGGGAAAGGGGAAGGAAUGGGAGAGGAAGAGAGGAGCGAGGGGGG